UUUGUUCCUUUCUCGCCAGAGGCAGUAGACUAACAUUCAGAACACACUGGUGGUUAUUUCCGCUAGUCCGUUUCUCCUUUUUGCAAUGUUGCUUAUCCAUUCUACUUCACUGUUCCAAUCACAUAUGGUUCUCUGGUAUCCCAUCCAUAUGAUUAAUCUAUUCCAUACUUUCCUUGAUGUCGGGCAGGUAAAAAACAGAUGGUCAAAAGAUUCGUCUGCUUGCUUGCAGAAUACACAUUGUUGCGGAAUCUG
rnacentral:lncRNA from 1 species